CGAAGCUUAAACCCUAAAUCCCGCGGGGAAUUUCCUCUUCAUCUUCCUCAAUUCAAAUUCACCACAGAUAAUGGCGCGAGUGAUUCGACCAUUGAGGAAAUGCCUUCAGCUUUCCGAUCACAUGUGCAAGCGCACCGACAAUAUCCGAUCAAAUUCCCACCUGAAAACCCUACAUUUCCGACAUGCUCAGAUUCGUUUUCGAAGGAACUUGAUUUCUCUCUCCCAAUCAGGGAAUUGGAUAAUGAAUAUGUUGAAGCAAGGAGUGCGGCGCUGUUUUCCUUCAUAAAUCUAUGAAGAACAAGGAUAAACAGAUUUCUUUAGAUGGAUGGAAACUGUAAAAGCAUUCAUUGAAAUCAAUUGAAAUUAUUGACUCUGCAGUAUUUUCAUUUGAGAAUAGUUGUUUGCUGUUGGUUGGAUAUCGAUUUUUGAAACUACCGCCAUUUUAGUCUUUCACCCACUCAUAAAUUUGAUGGCUUUACUAGAAAAAAUGGAGAGCUAUGAAGUAUAACUCAAUGAAUAGACAACCCAACUGCUGAGGGAAUACUACAGGCCACAUAUUAUCUUCCAAACGGAGGAAAGCAAGAUUUUUACACGUGUGGUAAUUUAAGGCAAAGGAAGAAAAGGGGGGAAAGGUUUUGGUCCAUCUUAGAGUUACAGCCUCAAAGACAAGUCUAAACAGUCUAGCUUGUGCAGUUCAUUAUGAGGACGCUUUGAAUCCAACAAUGUGUCACUGUUUGACGACAGCCUCCAACCACCAUCAAAACCUUCUGCUCCGCUGCUUGAUGGCAGUACCGGUGAGGCCCCCAACCGAUAAUUCUUCGACAAGGGCCAUUUGCCAGUUGCCACUUGCGUGUAAAGAGGCUGUCUGUCCCAGACCUCAGGCUCAAAAGGAUGAAUGGAACCAAAAACAGGUGCAUGGGAAAAUGGCUUAUGAAUCAUUGAAUGCAUUUGAAUUCCAAGUGAUCUAUUGAAGCCUUGAAAAGGCAGGGAGGACACACUCGAGUGUUUGCAAUCAGUUGAAUUGGUAACUAAUUUAUGGGCUGGUUUAGCCUUUUUCCUCUUUCGAUUAUGAGCAUUUUGGUGGCCUCCAAGUGCCUGUGAACUCAAGAACUCCCUUGGGCAAAAAUUGCAGGAGAAAACUCGAGGCUUAGCUGCUGCUUCUGUACCUUCGUAGGAAAUGUCGUUUGGUAAAUUAUCAGCACAAAAAAAGUCAAUUAGGUUCAAUUCCUCUGGCAAACUCCCGCCCAAAUCCUUGUUUGAGAGGCUUAGAUCGAGGGAAACAAGUUCAGGGCUUAUGUCUUUUGAGUCACUUGGAUCCUUUACUUCUGGAGGGCUAUCCAUUGAAACUUGUUGCAGCCAUGGAAGUUCAUCUGCCAAUGAGUUGAUGCUGGUAGUUUCUGGCUCUGAUUUUGCUGGAAGACUCAUGGGUUAUAUUCCGAAGUAGUGAAUGGUUUGUGGAUGAGUGCUCUUGAAGUAGUUGAAGUAGUUGGUCUGACUUCGAACCUACGUGUCUAUGACUUCAUUUCUCAAGAAAUUUGUACACUGGAAGAUCAUGAAUUUGAGAUUUUCUCUACUAAAAAUA